ACUAGUACCGUGAGGGAAAGGUGAAAAGCACCCCGACGAGGGGAGUGAAAUAGACCCUGAAACCGAAUGCCUACAAUCAGUCGGAGCCCGCAAGGGUGACGGCGUACCUUUUGCAUAAUGGGUCAGCGAGUUGGUCUUACGAGCAAGCUUAAGCCGAUGAGGUGUAGGCGCAGCGAAAGCGAGUCUGAACAGGGCGUUCAGUUCGUGGGAUCAGACCCGAAACCGGGUGAUCUAGCCAUGGGCAGGCUGAAGGUGGGGUAACACCCACUGGAGGGCCGAACCCACGUUCGUUGAAAAGAACGGGGAUGACCUGUGGUUAGGGGUGAAAGGCCAAUCAAACCCGGAGAUAGCUGGUUCUCCGCGAAAACUAUUUAGGUAGUGCGUCAGAUGGUGGCUCUCGGGGGUAGAGCACUGGAUGGGCUAGGGGGGCGCGAGCCUUACCAAACCUAACCAAACUCCGAAUACCGAAGAGUAGAGCGAGGCAGACACACUGCGGGUGCUAAGGUCCGUAGUGGAGAGGGAAACAGCCCUGACCGCCAGCUAAGGUCCCUAAGUUAUCACUAAGUGGGAAACGAUGUGGGAAUGCUUAGACAACCAGGAGGUUGGCUUAGAAGCAGCCAUCCUUUAAAGAAAGCGUAACAGCUCACUGGUCAAGCGUUCCUGCGCGGAAAAUGUAACGGGGCUUAAGUGAUACACCGAAGCUGCGGACUCGAAAGAGUGGUAGCGGAGCGUUCUGUAAGUCUGUGAAGGUGGCCUGCGAGGGCUGCUGGAGAUAUCAGAAGUGAGAAUGCUGACAUGAGUAGCGAUAAAGAGGGUGAGAGGCCCUCUCGCCGAAAGUCCAAGGGUUCCUGCGCAAGGCUAAUCCGCGCAGGGUGAGCCGGCCCCUAAGCCGAGGGCGAAAGCCGUAGGCGAUGGGAACCAGGUUAAUAGUCCUGGGCCAGCGGGUGGUGACGGAUGCCGUAAGUUGUUCGGGCUGACUGGAUUGUCCGGGCAGCGAAGGCGUCCCAGGAAAUAGCCCCCGCGUGUGACCGUACCCGAAACCGACACAGGUGGACUGGUAGAGCAUACCAAGGCGCUUGAGAGAACUGCGUUGAAGGAACUCGGCAAAUUGCCCCCGUAACUUCGGGAGAAGGGGGCCCCGGCCUUGGGCAACCAGGGUCGGGGGGCACAGACCAGGGGGUGGCGACUGUUUAUUAAAAACACAGGGCUCUGCGAAGCCGCGCAAGGCGACGUAUAGGGUCUGACGCCUGCCCGGUGCCGGAAGGUUAAGAGGAGGGGUGCAAGCUCUGAAUCGAAGCCCCGGUAAACGGCGGC
rnacentral:rRNA from 14 species